CCUACGGGAGGCAGCAGUGAGGAAUAUUGGUCAAUGGACGAGAGUCUGAACCAGCCAAGUAGCGUGAAGGAUGACUGCCCUAUGGGUUGUAAACUUCUUUUAUAAAGGAAUAAAACGAGGCACGUGUGCCUUUUUGCAUGUACGUUAUGAAUAAGGAUCGGCUAACUCCGUGCCAGCAGCCGCGGUAAUACGGAGGAUCCGAGCGUUAUCCGGAUUUAUUGGGUUUAAAGGGAGCGUAGAUGGGUUGUUAAGUCAGUUGUGAAAUUUUGCGGCUCAACCGUAAAAUUGCAAUUGAUACUGGCAGUCUUGAGUACAGUUGAGGUAGGCGGAAUUCGUGGUGUAGCGGUGAAAUGCUUAGAUAUCACGAAGAACCCCGAUUGCGAAGGCAGCUUACUAAACUGUGACUGACAUUGAUGCUCGAAAGUGUGGGUAUCAAACAGGAUUAGAUACCCCUGUAGUC
rnacentral:rRNA from 1 species